CCUGCAUGUGAAGGCCAAGCAUGCUUUAAGAUGCAGGUUCUGUCAGAAUCAGUGGGAGAGACAGAAGUGCCACGCCUGCCUUGGUGAGGUGGUGACCCUCACCCGGUGGGAGCUUGUGGGACAGUCCAGGAAAGCUGACGCUCUAACUCAGCCUGAAGUCCCUAGAGGUCAACCAGACCACCAGGAAGGAAACCCAGAUGUGGACAAGCACAAGGACAAUCUGAAAUCUGUGAGGAUGAACUGAAAUCCAUGUCUAUUUCUCACUAUCUCCAACCUGGGGGAGACUUGGGUGUCCCGUGAGGGAAUCUGGUGUCCUGCUCUGACAGCAGCCGGAGGAGCUGAAGGAAGACGUGCCCCAGGCAGUAGCGAUGUUCGACGUCGACAUCUAUGAGCAGAAGAUUCAAGACCCGUCAAGAGGUUCACCAUGUUCUCGGUUAUCUUUGCCACACCACCGCCAGUGUUCUGGAUAGCGGCUGCUCCGUCUGCCUGGGUCACAGAAUGAAGACAACAUGCAGCAGAACACAGCUGACCCACAAUGGACAUGAAAUCAGGUUCUUAACUGACGCCAGAUCCUCAUACCUGAAGCCAUGGACACUGCAUGAGAAGCCACUAUAACGCCUGAACCCAGGAUCAGAACUCUUCCCACCUCAGCUUGCUACCAUCAUCUUUGUCCCUUGUCACAUAUGAGCUGACUCUUAUUACCAGCUUGUAGAAAUCCAUUCCCAGGCCUUGUUUUGCCUUGGAAUUCUUGCCCAGACGGUUGGGGCUAGGACACUCCCUGGAAGACUCUCAACCUUUGAUGGAAUUAACAGCCAUGAUGAUUUGGAGGCCGGAAUUAUCUCCUGGUAAAUCUAUCAGCUAGAUUGCUUAGAGCUGGAACUGGGAUGAAGAGCCCUACAUGGGAGAACAUAGCCUGGAGAGAUCAAGCCCAAAAGCCAAAUCCAGAGGAUCAGAGACCAGGAUCCAUGAAUGUGGUUCUGCAGAUCCAGGAUCACAGUGAGAAGAGACCAGAAACAAUAAUUAAUAGUAACCAUAGGAAUUCCCUGGUGGUCCAGUGGUUAGGACUCCGUGCUUCCACUGCAGGGGGCAUGGCUUCAAUACCUGGUUGGGGAACUAGGAUCCCACAUGCCAUGUGGUGUGGUCAAAAAAAAAAAAAAGAUAACUGUAAUCAACAUUUUUGAGAGCUCACCCUGUGCCAGAUGCUGUGCUAAGCUGCCCUACUGAUCCUGUUUCAUUUUCACAGGAAUGUUUUGAGGCAGGUCUUAUUGUCAUCCUCACCUUAUGGAUAAGGAAACUGAGGCUUAGGGAGUUUAAGCAAUUGGCUCAUGAUAUACAGCUGGCAAGUAGCAGAGUGAGGUUGAAACCAAUGCAUUCUCACCCAGAGCCUGCAUUUCCAUCCAUGAUGCUAUCCCCUGAGCUGUGGCUGAGAAUCCUAUUGGGGUUUGGGGCUCUUCUUCACCAACUAGCAGCUUUGAUGCAGAUCUUGGCUGAGGUCUUGGUGUGUGUGAGAGGCUUCAUGACAUUUGUUCUGUUUCCACUGUCUUGGUUUGUGGUUCCAAAUAGAAUUUAAGGGAAAAGCCAGUUCUGCAGGGAUGGUUCUGGGAGGGUGUAUCUGUUAAGAAGAUAUUGAGCUUAGCGUGGCAGAAACCCAACUUUAACCCAUAUUUUAUUAUAUUCCAAGGAUGCAGGGGAUUUUCUGGAGCCCAAAGAUAGGCAUGUGGCUGAGAUUCAAGAACCAAUGGAAACAGCCCUUGAAAACUACCAGGAUAGUAUCUAAGAAUCUUACCUCUAUAUUUCAGGCUCUCUGUCUGUCUGUCUCUGUUUCUGUCUCUAUCUAUGUCUGUCUCUCUCCCUCUCUCUCUCCCUUUGUCUAUCUAUUUAUCUCUCUUUUUCUCUAUCUCUCCAGACAUAUUUUUUUCAACCUCUCUAGUUGUAGAAUGGGAACCAUGCCCUUGAUCCCUGAUGGUUCUGGAACUUUACAUCAAUCUCAAAGUGUGGUCCCCAGACUAGCAGCAUUAGCCUCACCUGUGAAAUCACUAGAAUGUAAAAUCUCAGGCCCUAUAGAAUCAGAAACUCUGGAUGGGGCCCAGCAGUCUGUUUUAACAAGCCCUCCAGGUGAUUCUAAUGCAUGCCUAGUUUGAGAACCACUGGUUUCUAUCUUACAGCGUCAGCCAUCUGGAGAGAGACUGACCCAUUUGCACCCCCAGAGUCAACAUUUUCAGCAAAGGGUUAUGGACACAGCUUGAGUCUUGGGUCCACCUCUGCACUGAUUAGCUGCAGCCUGAGAGCUGCGUCAUGCUGUAACCUUACUCAUUCCACUGCAAAACACCUGGACAGACGUGGAGGUGGGAUCAGUUCCAGAAAAUAGGCAGUCUGGAAAAGAAGUGGGGUGUAGGAGGAAUGCUACAUGGACAAAACAAGAGGAAUUAUGAGAUCUCAGAACCUGAGAGUACUUACUGGCUUACUGGCUGGGCAAAGCCAUGACAGGAGAGGACAGGGAAGUUAAUGAAACCCAAGUGCCUGCCAGCCCAGGGGCAGCCUGUGGAACCAAGUUCCAUACUGUUACUGAACUUGGGUUUGACUGCUCAUUCCUCAAGAAUCCAAUACUAAGAGACAAGUGUGGGGUAGAAGGAAAGAUAGCUUUACUGAGGAAGCCAGCAAUCCCGGGGAGAAGGUGGACUCAUGUCCCAAAGAACCAACUCCCCAUUGCCGAUCUGGGGACAAGAGUUUUUAAAGUGGGAUUUUCGUGGUGCACAGGCGGGGGUGGGGAUGGGGGCUACAUGCAGAACAGCACAGGAAGCUCUGACAGUCAUCUUGAAAGUGGUCAUGCCGUGGUCUGAUCAGCAUCAUCUUGAUUGUUUUACGUACAGUUCAUCUUCAAUUCCAGGGUCAGUUUGUUCCCAUUUCCUUGAGGCCAGUUCUCAGAACUGUGUAAGAUGGAGUAGUUUAUGUCAUGGCUACAGUAUGGUCAUCAGGUCAUUAACUUCUUCCACCUGAUGGGGGUUUCAGUAUCUGCAAAACAGCUCACAGGAUAGGGCUCAGGAUAUUAUCUAUAGCCCUUGAGGAGGGACUAAAGGUCUUUGACUUUGUUUAAUGGCUAAAGUAUUAUUAUUUUGUCUUGUUUUACUGCUUUCCUUUGCUUCUGCAUUUUUUUCCCCUCUGAUUAAAUUUAUUAUUUGGCUAAAGUUUUUCUACAGACACGAGGCAGUCACAGAGGACAUGGUGUUGGUGGGCGCUCUGUCCCAGGAAGGCCCCAUAGGGUCCUGCUCUGUUACAGUACUUCUUCAGGGUCAUGACCGUUGGCCAGGGUCAUGUGCAGAGCAUUAAACUUGAUACUGACUUAUUUCUUGUCACCUUGUGUUCCUUUUCCCUGAGCAGUUCCCACCCAGCUUAUCACCUGUUUUAGGUCCUGGAGGUUGUAUUAAUUACAGCAACAGUUCGAAAAGUCCAGUCCCUGGGCGCUUAAGGGUCUCUCAGACUCUUUCAGGCAUUCCACAGGUCAGACUGUUUUCAUAAUAACACUAAGAUUUUAUUUGUCCUUUUCACUGUAUUGCCAUUUGCACUGAUGGUGAAACUGCUGGUACCUCAGCACAAAUCAAGGUUGUGAUACCAAAAUUCUAGUAACGGUUGUAUUCUUCACUACCAGGCCCUCGCAGUAUAUAUUUUUUAAAAAAGUCAGUUUCACUUACGAAUGUCUUUGAUAAAGAAAUAGAAAUUUUAUUAAACUAAUUAAUAAAACAAAAUUAAUUUAAUCAAAUUUCAACCCUUGAGUGCAUGUCUUUUUAAUGUUCUGGGGGACAAAAUGGGAAGUGUAUGUAAACUACUUUUUCACAUCCUGAACUGUGAGGGUUGUCUGAAGACAAAGUGCUUGCUUGAGCUGUGAGAUGAAUUAGCCUCUUUUUUGCAGAAAACCAUUUUUACUUGAAAGAAUGACUGAUAGACAAGCUAUAGUGGUUGGCAGAUAUUUCCUUAAGACUGUAUUAAGGAAGCCUGUCACUUCAAGGAAAACAACUGACAGUAUUUGUUGCCAAUGAUAGCAUUCGAGCUUUCAAGUGAAAAUUAUAAUUGUGGAAGACUUGUAUCCACCACCAUGAGCUUGACAGCUUCCCAAUACUUAAAAACUUUUUUUGAUGAGAUUUGUGGUGAAUUUAACCAGUGUGAUUUUUGCAUAUUGUCUAACGAUGCAUCAACAUUUGGAAGAUCUGCAUAACUCAAUGAACCAAUAUUCUCAAAAUGACCAAUUCAUGAGACAAAAUUGCACAUGGGUAAGAGAGCCUUUCAAAGUGCAAGACAGACCAAUGGAUUUUAAUGCAACAGGGUAUGAAAGUUCAUUUGUAUGUUUUCAGAUUUUACGUUACAACUAACUUUUAAGAAACUACCACUUGUCAAGUUUUAGGAUAAUAUCAAUAAGAAAUACCCUAGAUUAUCUCAAAUGGCUAUUAAAAUACCCCUCCCAUUCCCAACUACAUAUCUGUGUGAAGUUGAAUAUUCUUCAUAUACUUCAAUCAAAACAACAAUGUAAAACAUAUUGAAUGCAGAAUAAAAUAUGAGGAUCCAGCUGUCUUCCAUUAAACCAGAAACUAAUGAGAUUUUCACAAAUGUAAAACAAUACCUAUUCUUCUCACUAAUUUUUUGUUGUUGUUUUGGAAAAUACAGCUAUCUUUCAUAAAAAUGCUAUUGAUAUUAUUAACUUGUAAUGGUUUUGUUAUUGUUCAAUGAAUGAGAAAAUAAAAAUUUCUCAGUUUUAAUUUCUAAUGUGGUAAAUAUUGAUACAUAUAACCCACAUAAAAGUUUUUUGAGGUCCUCAACAAUUUUCAAGAUUGUAAAGGGGUCUGAAGACCAAAAAGUUUGAGAACUAGUGAGCUGGAGUACAGCUCAGCUAUCGUAACUGAGAGCCAUAUACAGAAAAAAGAAUGGCAAAGUGGUUCAAACAAUAUAGAAAUUUCUCUCUUUUUAAGUAGCAGUCCAGACAUCCAUAGGGAGGGAGUCCAGAGCAAGUGGUGACUUUGUUCCAUGGGUCAUGCACGGUCAGUCCUUCUGUCUUCUUGCUCCAAUAUCCUCUAAUCUGGGGUCUAUGGAUAGAAUUUAGGAUGUCUAUGAACUUGAGUUAAAAAACCUCUGACAGAGAUAUAGUGUUUCCUUCAAUUAUAGGCAACAACCCAUAGUGAUGUUAGCCAGACUGGUGACUUUGACACCAAUGGAAGGCACAUGUAUUAUCAAAUCACAUUAUAGUUACUGCAAUUAUCUCAAAUUACCAUUUCUAUGCAUCAUUUUAAAACCAUGUUAGUCAUUGGACCCCCUCCCUUGUGAAAUCUUGUUAUGUAAUAUAUCAAUAAAGAAAUACACAGAGUAAGGUA